GACGAACGCUGGCGGCGUGCUUAACACAUGCAAGUCGAACGGAAAGGCCCUGCUUUUGUGGGGUGCUCGAGUGGCGAACGGGUGAGUAACACGUGAGUAACCUGCCCUUGACUUUGGGAUAACUUCAGGAAACUGGGGCUAAUACCGGAUAGGAGCUCCUGCUGCAUGGUGGGGGUUGGAAAGUUUCGGCGGUUGGGGAUGGACUCGCGGCUUAUCAGCUUGUUGGUGGGGUAGUGGCUUACCAAGGCUUUGACGGGUAGCCGGCCUGAGAGGGUGACCGGCCACAUUGGGACUGAGAUACGGCCCAGACGCCUACGGGAGGCAGCAGUGGGGAAUAUUGCACAAUGGGCGGAAGCCUGAUGCAGCAACGCCGCGUGCGGGAUGACGGCCUUCGGGUUGAAAACCGCUUUCGCCUGUGACGAAGCGUGAGUGACGGUAAUGGGUAAAGAAGCACCGGCUAACUACGUG
rnacentral:rRNA from 1 species